GUGGUCGAAGCACAAGGUUUUAUGAAAACAUGGAAUACGUAAAUCGUGUUUAUGCUUUUAUUUUGCAAGUAAAUCAUUAAAUAAUACUUUUUUCUAUAAUGUUUUAAUGGUUUCUUUCGGUUAAGAUGAACUUGUUAUAACGUCGGAGGCAACCUUUAAAUUCCCAGUCUCCAAACACUUUGAAUCAAACAAAUCAUCAAAGUCAGAAAAGGGAUAAGAUUUUUCUUUACCGCGUUACGCAGAAACUGGACCACAUCACGAAUGCUAACAAUGCAAUUAUAAUAGAACGUUUUGAUAAAGCAUUGGCAGGCUUGUAUUUACUUAUUGCAACUUCUCACCUUGUGAUAAAGCUAUGUUGCGUAAACUGUUAUCUUUAAGAAGGAAUUGUCAAGACAGGUUAAUGAAUGUACAAAAUCGCAAGAAGUAAAAUUCUUAUAGUACAAAUGGGAAGACAUCGCAAGAUAAUUUGAAAGAAGACGAUAUGACAAUCUAAAGGAAUGUGAAAGAAAUACUGAAUUUUAAGAUGUUUUGUGAUAGAAGUGAUAACAAGCUCUGGACUAUAUGUGCAAAAUUCUUUUUGGCAAAUCGGUGAUUAUGGGAUACUAAGUCAUUUGGAUCAGGAAUGCAGGAACAUCCCGUAACUUGUAGCUCCAGCAGGUCACAGAAGCCAGGUCCAAAUUUGCGUUCCAGCGCCCAACGCCUUGUGUCACCCCAUUAGACAAAAUUUUCUUGGCAACAAUAUUUCAGCAGCAGCGACUCCCCAUUAUAUAUUAGGACAAUACCUAAAAAUUUAUGUGGCACUUAUUGUUACGUCCAUUUUAAAACAAAAUACUAGCCAUUGUCAUCAAAUUUUUAUAUAAUUUGCAUACAGGUAUUAUCAGUCAUAGACAAUCAUUAUUGCGACACCACUGUAAAUUUUUAAAUAAAACCCAUGCUUUGUUGUUGUUUCAA